AUACUUACUGGCAGGGGAUACCAUGAUCACGAAGGUGGUUUUCCCAGGGGAGGCUUAUCAUUGCACUCCGGAUGUGCUGACCCUGCGAUUUCCCCAAAUGUGGGAACUCGACUGCAUAAUUUGUGGUGUGGGGACUGCGUUGCGCUCUCCUGG
rnacentral:snRNA from 1 species